GAUUUGAAAUAUGUCAAAUUCCUGGAUGCUGUGCAGAGCCCUGUUAGCCCACUAGGGAUCUGAGGGACUUCCAAGACUAGGAAGGACCAUGGUAGUAAAAUGCAUGCUCCACACACUUCAUCCCCUGGGGAAGUAGAGGAGAGAAAACAGAGGUGAGAUGUUGCUCAUGUCAACCAGUGUAUACAGGAGGGGGCCAUGGCCCCAUCGCUAUGACCAUCUAAAGAACUACUUUGAGUAGGACUUCUUGUUUCUGAUUUAGGGGUGGGCAAUAGCACAGCAGACACCUCCAAGGCCAGCUUCAGGAUGCGACCCAGCAUUGUCAUCAGCCUGUCUCCAAAGCUGAGGUCUUCUUUCAUAUUUGUCACCAACAGCUGUUUAGCACCUUUCCAGAUCAGCUGUGUUUUGGGGAAAAAACAUAUUGGCUUCCUUCAACUGCAGUUUAUUUUAUUGUGCUUGACCUGUCGUGGAGCAAAAAACCUCAUUUACAAGCACAGUUCAGUACAGACCUGACCGCUCCAGGCUUCUCAGCCACAUUUGCAAAAAUUAAAUGUUGCUGGGCAAGGAUGCCAGCACAGGGCUAAGCCUGGGUCAAACCACUCCUGCAGAAGGGAGGGAAUAGGCAAGAGCUGACAAUGGGAUGAAGAGGCAGGAGAGCUCCCUGAAGAGGGAGGCCAGCGGCAUGAGCUGCCCUGCCAGCAUCUGGGCAUGGGAAAGGCAGCAUAACAGAUUUUGACAAAUACCAUGAGAAUAUGCCGUGAUGGACCUCAUGUGCUAACAGAAAAUGGCAGGAGAUACCAGAUCUUCUGAAGGCAAAACUUAAUCCACAAUUGAAAAUGGAAGUGAAACAAGGUUUCCUGAGGAGAGGGGGCAAUCUGGAUGUGAUUGCAAACACCCCUGCAGUCCCUGGGAUCCAUGAGCAAGGACCAUGUGUGGAGAAGCAAUAGUCCAUUUAUCAUCUCAGUGCCACUCCAGCUUUUGGUACUUCUCACUUAUGACUUCAACCAGAGCUGUUCCUGGGGAAGUGCCAAGACAGUGCUUCAAGGACAACUGUCUCCUCCAAAGCCCUCAUUGCUGGGGAGACUCAGAUGUUAUGAAUAUACAUCACAGAUGUAUCUACCAUCAAACCUCGUUGGAAGGCUCCACUGAAGAGCAGCCGUGGACAGAGGAAAAAACCCAGCGCCAAGCCGGUGCGCAAGCAACACAGUGAUCAUUUGUUGAAGCUCACCAGGACAGUCAAAG